rnacentral:rRNA from 1 species
GGUGACUGCGUACCUUUUGUAUAAUGGGUCAGCGACUUAUAUUUAGUAGCAAGGUUAAGUGAAUAACGGAGCCGUAGCGAAAGCGAGUGUUAACUGCGCGUUUAGUUGCUAGGUAUAGACCCGAAACCCGGUGAUCUAGCCAUGAGCAGGUUGAAGGUUGAGUAACAUCAACUGGAGGACCGAACCCACUAACGUUGAAAAGUUAGGGGAUGACUUGUGGCUGGGGGUGAAAGGCCAAUCAAACCGGGAGAUAGCUGGUUCUCCCCGAAAUCUAUUUAGGUAGAGCCUCGGACGAAUUCCAUUGGGGGUAGAGCACUGUUAAGGCUAGGGGGUCAUCCCGACUUACCAACCCUUUGCAAACUCCGAAUACCAAUGAGAACUAUCCGGGAGACACACGGCGGGUGCUAACGUCCGUCGUGGAGAGGGAAACAACCCAGACCGCCAGCUAAGGUCCCAAAAUAUUGCUAAGUGGGAAACGAUGUGGGAAGGCAUAGACAGCUAGGAGGUUGGCUUAGAAGCAGCCACCCUUUAAAGAAAGCGUAAUAGCUCACUAGUCGAGUCGGCCUGCGCGGAAGAUGUAACGGGGCUAAGCAAUAUACCGAAGCUGCGGCAGCAUGUUUACAUGCUGGGUAGGGGAGCGUUGUGUAAGUGGAUGAAGGUGAGUUGUAAAGCUUGCUGGACAUAUCACAAGUGCGAAUGCUGACAUGAGUAACGAUAAUGGGAGUGAAAAACUCCCACGCCGGAAGACCAAGGUUUCCUGUCCCAUGCUAAUCAGGGCAGGGUAAGUCGGCCCCUAAGGCGAGGCAGAAAUGCGUAGUCGAUGGGAAACGGGUUAAUAUUCCCGUACUUAUAUAAUCAGUGAUGGAGGGACGGAGAAGGCUAGGCAAGCUUGGCGUUGGUUGUCCAAGUGAAAGUGAGUAGGCUGAAGACUUAGGUAAAUCCGGGUUUUCAAGGCCGAGACACGAGACGAGCUCCCAAGGGAGUGAAGUUGUUGAUGCCCUGCUUCCAGGAAAAGCUUCUAAACUUAUGAUUAUAUGAACCGUACCCCAAACCGACACAGGUGGUCAGGUAGAGAAUACUAAGGCGCUUGAGAGAACUCGGGUGAAGGAACUCGGCAAAAUUGUACCGUAACUUCGGGAGAAGGUACGCCUCUGUUUGUGAACACUUCGCGUGGUAAGCAAAUGGAGGCCGCAGUGACCAGGUGGCUGGGACUGUUUAUUAAAAACACAGCACUCUGCAAACUCGUAAGAGGACGUAUAGGGUGUGACACCUGCCCGGUGCCGGAAGGUUAAUUGAUGGGGUUAGUUUUCGGACGAAGCUCUUGAUCGAAGCCCCGGUAAACGGCGGCCGUAACUAUAACGGUCCUAAGGUAGCGAAAUUCCUUGUCGGGUAAGUUCCGACCUGCACGAAUGGUGUAACCAUGGCCACGCUGUCUCCACCCGAGACUCAGUGAAAUUGAAAUCGCAGUGAAGAUGCUGUGUACCCGCACCUAGACGGAAAGACCCCGUGAACCUUUACUACAGCUUGGCACUGAACAUUGAACCUACAUGUGUAGGAUAGGUGGGAGGCUUUGAAGCACAGUCGCUAGAUUGUGUGGAGCCGUCCUUGAAAUACCACCCUUGUAUGUUUGAUGUUCUAACAUUGUUCCCUUAUCGGGAAUGUGGACAGUGUCUGGUGGGUAGUUUGACUGGGGCGGUCUCCUCCCAAAUAGUAACGGAGGAGCACGAAGGUUAGCUAAUCACGGUCGGACAUCGUGAGGUUAGUGCAAUGGCAUAAGCUAGCUUAACUGCGAGACAGACACGUCGAGCAGGUACGAAAGUAGGUCAUAGUGAUCCGGUGGUUCUGUAUGGAAGGGCCAUCGCUCAACGGAUAAAAGGUACUCCGGGGAUAACAGGCUGAUACCGCCCAAGAGUUCAUAUCGACGGCGGUGUUUGGCACCUCGAUGUCGGCUCAUCACAUCCUGGGGCUGAAGUCGGUCCCAAGGGUAUGGCUGUUCGCCAUUUAAAGUGGUACGCGAGCUGGGUUUAGAACGUCGUGAGACAGUUCGGUCCCUAUCUGGUGUGGGCGUUGGAUGAUUGAUGGGAGCUGCUCCUAGUACGAGAGGACCGGAGUGGACGAACCGCUGGUGUUCGGGUUGUCAUGCCAAUGGCAUUGCCCGGUAGCUAUGUUCGGAACGGAUAACCGCUGAAAGCAUCUAAGCGGGAAGCCGGCCCAAAGAUGAGUCAUCCCUGACCUUUAAGGUCUGGAAGGGUUGUUAUAGACGAUGACGUUGAUAGGCAGGGUGUGGAAGCGUUGUAAGGCGUUAAGCUAACCUGUACUAAUUGCCCGAGAGGCUUAACCAUACAACGCCCAAGAAGCUUU